ensembl:lncRNA
GUGGAGUGUGUGAUAUUCCAUUCUUAAAACUGUGAUCGACAUACAUCUUUAACAGCUGCCUGCUCAGACAAAGGACCCUGCACAAGUUGAUAAAUUUGAGUAGGAGCAUUUUUUUUUUUCUUCUUUCUUAUGGAUGGACUUUGAUGGUAUUGUAGUUUGGACUUCUGGUUUAAUAGCCGGUAUAGACAUGUUCAUUUGCAUGUGUAGAUGUGUAUAUGCAUCCUUUCUUCCUCCUUGAAUGAAAUGUUUUCUCAAAAAAAAACAAAAAAAAAACAACCAUAUUUAGACCUGCUGUCGGUGAUGUAUGCGGAUAAAUGGAAAUAUGAAAUGCCUUAUAUUUGUUUUCAAUGUUAAGCAUUAAGGGUUCUUACAUGUCCCUCCCUUUUCAGCGUGUAGCCUAAAGCUUGUACAGUUAAGAAACUCAUGAGAUUUAUAUCUACUGUAUAGCCUGUGUGUUUUCAGAAUUUGUUACUUGGAGGUCCUGUGAUUGUGGUUUUAGAGAAACAUUCCCCUUGAAAGUGCCGUUUGUUUUCACCAGCAAAAGAUGUGUCUUUGGGGGGAAACCUUUAUUUACACGAAGGAAAACAAAUGUUCAAAACACUUUCCAGUGUUUACUGUCGAACUGAAUGACACAACGCAUUCGUGCAGUUGAACCAAGGCAGCAAUCUUCUGAUGGAGCACCUUAUCGACAUGCUCCUUCUGUGAGCCCACAAUAGAAGUAGUCUCUCACCAAGCUUGAUUACUCUAAAGCAGAGCCAUAUCAAAGAAUUUGCCCAUUAGGAGCCCCCUUGAAUGUGCUAUUAGGAAUAGCCUACUGUAGGAAAGGAUGUAUACUGCAUGUUCUUUGACAUUUUAGUAGUGGUUGUCCCUCUUUUUCUCUUUUUGUUUCUCCGUGUUUUUAUGUUUAGUCUGCUUCACUGUAGAUGUUGCCACCUCAUUGCAACUCACGAGCUAUUAACAAUCCUCUCACAACUGGACUUAAAGCAGGCGUUGAUCUGCUGCUGAGGCAGCCUUAAGUCAUUGCGAGUUUUAAAAAGGAAACGCUAGUUCAAUGGGUUGCCUGUUUUGUGUUAUUUUAUUUUGAGUGGCUUAUUAUGGGGUAAUGACAAAGGAGCCCUUAUCAUGAGUGGAAGGACUUUGAAUCAGGUCAUGUGAUGAAUUACAAUCAAAGAGUUUCACAGUGCACCUUCACAGAAAGUUAAACAAAAAAAAAAAAAGUUGGCUUGUCCACCCAACAUUCCAAAGUUGAUUUAAUUUUCCACAGUCCUGUCCCUCUGAUUGAGGAAUUUUAUUUUAUUUUUUUCCUCUUUGCUGGUGAAUGAAGUGGGCAUGUGUGUCAACGACAGGGUUCCCUAUUUAGCCUAACGCUGAUUACCUCAUUUACAAAUCUGCAAAUAUACUAUUCUACUGUGUGUAAAGGAGUCAAUGCCAUCACCAGCAGCGCGGUCUCGAGACCUGUGAUGACAACAGGACCAAUGAAGUUGAAAUUAGUCAAUUUUGAAAUAUGACCAGUCUGGGAAUAUAGGGUUAAGACACGAUUCAGACAUUAUUUUUUUUUUCUUCUUCUUCCUUUUCUUUUUUUUUUUGUAAAGAUGAAUGAGCCUAUUAAGAUUUCUUUAACUAGUACAUCACCACAGCUGCUACCCCAGUCAAUGCAGGAGCUGUCAGAAAGCUGCAGAUACUUUUAUUGUUUGUUUUUUAAAUAGCCAAGUCAAUAUUCAAAGUUAAAAUCAAACACUUGUUAAAACACAGCUCUUCAAACUCCAACUGGACUAGCAGCUGUUGGCACUAGCAUGGUUCAGGAAGCCUGGUGUAUCACAAUUGUUUAAGUGAACGAUCACAUUAGCUUCACUUGCUGUUUUUUCAGUAGCAUUUCUCCUACCUCCUUGUUUUGCAGCCUUGAGUAUUGUUAGUCUCUCCACCUGUUCUGACUUAAAAAAAAAAAAAAAAAAAAAAAAAGUUUAUUCACAGUACGGGAAUACAGAUUUAUCAUAAGCAAUGGUAGUUAUACAUAAAGUGUGCUUGGUUGUGCUGUAUGUGUACUUGUCUAUUUGACGUUGGAAAAAAAAAAUAUUUAUGAGAAGCAUUUAUACGACAAAAUACCACUGGAAUGUGAAGCCAGACAACGUUAUGAUGCAGAUUAUGAUGAUAGUCUAUCCCCUUUAACAUUCAGUGGCGAAUGGUCAGAGGAAUCAUCUUUUUAAGAAAAUGAAUAACCAUUGGCUUUAUAUUUUAACAGCAUUUAUUUCUUUGGUUUCCUCUUAUGCAUAUACUUCCCCCAUCUAGCCCUAUGGUAUACAAUAUUUCAACGUUUACAGCUUCCUUCUGGGUCAGCCAUUGAUUUUUAUUUUUUUUUAUUUUUUCUCCCCCCUACAGUUGUAAUGAUAUCACAGUUUGUCACAGGGAUGAUAGUAAGGUGUAUUUGUAAAUGUGGAUGAGUUUGAGCCCCUCGAGCCGUAUGCCUUUGAAUCCAUCUGUCCACUCUGUACCAAAUUCUGCUACACAGGCGUCUUGUUUCCGCACUGCCCCAACAUUUUACAUCCAGUUUUGAGUACAAAGGGGUACGGGACAAAGGUGAAAGGUUUGAGGUUUUUCAGACCAGGCCCCGCCAUCCCACCACCCUCACAACCACCCAACAGCUCACCCAUGCCUACUCUAAGACAGGACCAGCCCAACUCCCCCACCCCUCCCCUCCCCUCUCACCCACUGUCUCACCUUUAACCUCAAGCCAUUCAUUUUUCUGUUUUUGUUUUAUUUUAAUUUUUUUCGACAAUGCAAUCCUGAAAGCACUUUGCCUUGUUAUUCCUUUGUGUGAACAUGUGAAUGAUAAUUUGUUACAGAAAUGUUAAAUAUGUAAAAGAUCAUUCACUGUUUUGGAAAAACCUGCAUCUGUCUUUCUGACGUUAAAAGGAAAAAAAAAAACAAUUUAGUGACAUUAAACCUGAAUCUAUUUUAUAAAAUGUUUGCUGCAGCCAAUUGGUCUUGUCAUUCAGUAUUGUGGCUUAGGGUUGUUUGUGUUCAAUAAAGUGCUAUUGCUAAAUAUUU